GGAUCCAGACUUUGAUUCUGGCUCAGGAUGAACGCUGGCGGCGUGCCUAAUACAUGCAAGUCGAACGAAACUUCUUUAUCACCGAGUGCUUGCACUCACCGAUAAAGAGUUGAGUGGCGAACGGGUGAGUAACACGUGGGCAACCUGCCCGAAAGAGGGGGAUAACACUUGGAAACAGGUGCUAAUACCGCAUAACCAUGAAUACCGCAUGGUAUUUAUGUGAAAGGUGGUUUCGGCUACCGCUUUCGGAUGGGCCCGCGGCGCAUUAGCUAGUUGGUGGGGUAAAGGCUUACCAAGGCAAUGAUGCGUAGCCGAACUGAGAGGUUGAUCGGCCACAUUGGGACUGAGACACGGCCCAAACUCCUACGGGAGGCAGCAGUAGGGAAUCUUCCACAAUGGGCGAAAGCCUGAUGGAGCAACGCCGCGUGGGUGAAGAAGGUCCUCGGACCGUAAAACCCUGUUGUCAGAGAAGAAAGUGCAUGAGAGUAACUGUUCAUGUUUCGACGGUAUCUGACCAGAAAGCCACGGCUAACUACGUGCCAGCAGCCGCGGUAAUACGUAGGUGGCAAGCGUUAUCCGGAUUUAUUGGGCGUAAAGGGAACGCAGGCGGUCUUUUAAGUCUGAUGUGAAAGCCUUCGGCUUAACCGGAGUAGUGCAUUGGAAACUGGGAGACUUGAGUGCAGAAGAGGAGAGUGGAACUCCAUGUGUAGCGGUGAAAUGCGUAGAUAUAUGGAAGAACACUAGUGGCGAAAGCGGCUCUCUGGUCUGUAACUGACGCUGAGGUUCGAAAGCGUGGGUAGCAAACAGGAUUAGAUACCCUGGUAGUCCACGCCGUAAACGAUGAAUGCUAAGUGUUGGAGGGUUUCCGCCCUUCAGUGCUGCAGUUAACACAAUAAGCAUUCCGCCUGGGGAGUACGACCGCAAGGUUGCAACUCAAAGGAAUUGACGGA
rnacentral:rRNA from 1 species